UGCUGAUGCUCCUGGUUCUAGAUCCGGGCUUUAAAACCCACUGCCUUAAACUAGCAGAACCUGUUGCUAUCAAAUAUUUAAAUCAAACGACUAUCUCUCAACUCCUUUAUUCCUUGUUCUCCAGGAACCUGAAGAAUACACUUUGCCACAAGGAGGAAAAUAUGCCAGACAGGUCAUGCAAGUCUUCACUCUGCAUUUAUGUUAAAUUUAAAUUUAUCGUUUGCUUUUCUGGAUUUCUACACCAGUCUUCUGUGAGCAGGAGCAUAUAACUUUUUAAUAUGAAGAUACAAGAGUCAGGGCCAGCCCUGUGGCCAAGUGGUUAAGUGCGUGUGCUCUGCUUCAGCAGCCCAGGGUUUCACUGGUUCGGAUCCUGGGUGCAGACAUGGCACCACUCGUCAAGCCAUGCUGAGGCGGUGUCCCACAUAGCAGAGCCAGAAGGAACUACAUCUAGGAUAUACAACUGUGUGCUGGGGGGCUUUGGGGAAACGAAAAAAAAAAAAAAGAAGAUUGGCAAAGGACGUGAGCUCAGGGGCCAAACUUUAAGAAAAAAAAAGAUACAAGAGUCUGAGAGACGCUUUAAAUAAGGGAGUGGAACUUUUGGUAAGAAUAAGAUUUGAAGGAAGACGCGUUAAAAAAGAAAAAAAAAAGGAAACUCAAAGGGAAAAGCAGAAGGAAGACAUUGUUUUCAUCCUGUUAUUCUGACUAAAGAAUCAACUAAACAGUAAUAUCCUAUUAUUUCAAGUAAAAAAUCAUGACUUUUAGAAAGGCUAGAAAAUUAAAAGUGUUUUUCCUAAUUAUCUAGUGUUUUUAAAGUGAAAUGCACUCAUUCUAUAGAAUACAAGAUAAUUAUUGGAUAUGGGAAGAAAAUAGCAAGACUUUUAUUUACAUUUUUAUCUAAAAAUCUAAGGAAGCAAUUAAGCUCCUACAUUGCAAGAGAUAUCCUAAGGAGAGCAUCUUAGUGUGUCUUUUCAUCAGCAUUUUGUGAUGUCUUACAGUUUGCGGGGGCCUGGUUUUGUCUAGUUUUAAUGAAACAAAAUCUCUCAAAAUUACAAGUGGCUUUGAAUAAUUCCAGGUUAAGUCAGGAAAAUAAAAGUCAUUCUAACUAUUUCA
rnacentral:lncRNA from 1 species